UUUGAAAUUGAAAUGAAUUUUGUUUCAAAACUGUAUGUCGGAUUGUAGUAUAAUGGUUAGGUGUAUUUUUAAAGAAAUUUUUUUUUGGUGAAACUUUAAGCAUUUUCAUGUUUUAGCUGUAUUGGAACUUUAAACAUCUAUACGGACGAAUCGAAAAUGGAUAAAGGAGUGAGCACCAGUAUCUAUGGUGUGGAACUAGACUGCAGGCAAAUCUUCAAACUUUCAGAAUACUGCCGCGCUUAGAAAAGCUGCACAGGAAACCAAAUAAAAAAAUUUUAAUACGGGUAUAUACAUACAUAUGCCGAUAUUAAAGCAGCAAUUAUGGCAUCGCAUUGCGUCAAAGUAUGUCCUAAGUAGCAAGAAGGCCACAAAAGCUUUGCGAAAAACAAAAUAGUUAAUGAGAUUGUCAAAAGAACCAUUCGCUUGGCUGUCACACCAGUGCAUGAUAAACGGAAGUCUCUAAAAAGAGAGCACAAUGUAAUUUUCGAAAAAGGUUGACAGUCACAACAGGAUGAAAUGGGAUGCUUUAACAACUUGCAUGGUUGUUGGCCCAAUGACAGCACACAACCUUGUGGCAUUAUAUGGUGUGCAGAGAUGAAGGCAUGAGUGAGACAUCGGAACAUCCCCUUGGUUUCUGUCCAACCUUAACUAAAACUCAUCUGCGAUAUCUAUUAUCCUCGCAUUUCAUAGGAGUAGAUAACAAGGCUCCUUUAAACUUUGAAAAAUAUGUUGACGUCCUAGGUGAAGACUACUUCAGCUCGUACUAAGCAGAACAUUUAUCUGGAAUUACAAAGGGCAAAUAAAACUUUCAAAGAGGAGCUAGAUUAGUUAUCUAAUUGCUGCAACAUCAGCAAGAUGAUUGAGUUAAAAGACUUGAAUGUUUCUCAGUUAAAUGGCACCUGAUUUGAGUAAAAGUUGGAAAAGUCUUAAGAAAUUCAUCGGACAACAGAAUCUUUACAUCAACAAAAUUUUUUUGGAUCAUUAAGAAGAUCUUUCAAAAUUCUCCACCUGAUCCUUUCAAAUGAAUGGAGGUUUUAAAGUUCCUCUGAUUUUAUUGGCGCAUACUGUAUCGAAUACUUUCAAAGCUGGAAUAUUUAAAUCCAAUUCAACUAUGUCAACUUUGUUGUACAUCAAGUUCAUCAUCUGUGAUAUUGCCGUCCAUUAAUUGCCUCUCAAAUUAACUGGACAUUAUGGGUGGUUUGGAUUUUUUGCCAAAAUAUUUUAUUUAUCUAUUCACUGGGAAUCCGUAUUGCCGAAUUUCGAAUUUUCAUGAUCACGUUCGAAUUUAUGAUAGCCAUUUCCCGAAGUUGUCACGUCAUCAGCUUCGUAGGAUUCAUGAUUGACCUGGAAGAUUUUUCCGCAUCGCCUUCAAGGCAGAGCUAAGAAAACCUAAAAUUAUUUUAAUAUAUUUAUAUUAAUUAUUUUAAAUGUACUUAAAGUUUUGC